CUCUGCCUCCUCAGCAACAGAGAGCUUCCUGAAACCAACACAACAGAGACCAACGUCUGUUUAAGCAUCGCUGUGUGAAGACUCCUUCAGCCACUUCAUCACCAUGGCAACAGACUCAAAAACCUGAACCGAAUCGGCCUGUACUUGGACAAAGAUGUGUGUCCACUAAAUACAGUGAGUGUUCAGGAAAAUGGUCAACACCCUGGAGGAAAGAUUAUCAUCAGCCUGCACUAAAGCAACAUCACCAGGCAAACUGUUCCAGAUGACCUGAGGGAUGACUCUGAGGCUGAUGUUGGAGACCAUGCAGUUUUUGUGAUUGUCAUCCAAGAGUAAAGGUUCAGUUUACAAAAGAAUAAUGAAUGAAU
ensembl:lncRNA